rnacentral:rRNA from 1 species
GAUCCUGGCUUAGGACGAACGCUGGCGGCGUGCUUAACACAUGCAAGUCGAGCGAUGAAGCUUCUUCGGAAGUGGAUUAGCGGCGGACGGGUGAGUAACACGUGGGUAACCUGCCUCAUAGAGGGGAAUAGCCUUCCGAAAGGAAGAUUAAUACCGCAUAAGAUUGUAAUAUCGCAUGAUAUAGCAAUUAAAGGAGUAAUCCGCUAUGAGAUGGACCCGCGUCGCAUUAGCUAGUUGGUGAGGUAACGGCUCACCAAGGCGACGAUGCGUAGCCGACCUGAGAGGGUGAUCGGCCACAUUGGGACUGAGACACGGCCCAGACUCCUACGGGAGGCAGCAGUGGGGAAUAUUGCACAAUGGGGGAAACCCUGAUGCAAGCAACGCCGCGUGAGUGAUGACGGUCUUCGGAUUGUAAAGCUCUGUCUUCAGGGACGAUAAUGACGGUACCUGAGGAGGAAGCCACGGCUAACUACGUGCCAGCCGCCGC